AGACGCUAUGCGAUAACUGAGUUGCUAUCAGAGCACUGGCUUUUGGGAUCACUACUGCUGCUGCUAGUACUACUGUGACUCAUGGAAGAGUACUGUGAGUCUGAUGUACUCAUAGGACUUUCCAAUGGUUCAAGAUGGAGAAGUCUCUGAAGGUACAGCUGGAGUUUCAUAAUCAUUUGUUAUUGUUGGGAAAAUAGGAUUUGCUGGUCGGUGAGUCUUCAAGAAAUCUCUCAAGUUUCCAUAUGGCGCAAACUCCACAAUGACAUAUAGAGGACCUACAAAUAAAGAACGAUAUUAGUAAGUUAGUAUUAUGUUUCAAACAAGACUUAUCAUAGUUUGAUUGAUAGUCAAAUAUGUUUUCAUUAUUGUGUAGCAUUCAACUAAAUAGAUAUAAAUAUUGUUACAGUGGUUUGUUGAAUAGGUGAAAAAAAAAUGUCUUGAAAACAUCUGCACUGUUCAAUCUUGCAUUACCUCUCUGAGUACAGCAGCCCAGAAGAUUAAUAAUGUUUUUAUUCUUUCCUAUGCUCUUCAUGGUUUCCAUCUCUCGGACCAGGUCAGUCAUUUCACGGUCAGUUGCAUCUCUUUUUAACAUUUUCACUGCCACUGUGGUUGGAGUGUUUUUGUUCUCCAUGCCAUAGGCUUCCCCCUUGACCACAAGCCCAAAAGCACCCUCACCAAGUCGUUGACCUAAUUUUAGUCUGUAAGAAAAAAACAAUUGCUGAGCUUUUUUCCCCAAAUUCCUUUUUGAGCUAUUACAGUAGAAAAUAGAGUACAGUCUGAAAAAUCUUAAGAAAAAAAUAAAU